CCUACGGGAGGCUGCAGUGGGGAAUAUUGCGCAAUGGGCGAAAGCCUGACGCAGCGACGCCGCGUGAGGGAUGAAGGUCUUCGGAUCGUAAACCUCUGUCAGCAGGGAAGAACGGUCACUGUGCUAAUCAGCAGUGAAUUGACGGUACCUGCAAAGGAAGCACUGGCUAACUCCGUGCCAGCAGCCGCGGUAAUACGGAGGGUGCGAGCGUUAAUCGGAUUGACUGGGCGUAAAGCGCUCGUAGGCGGUAGGUCAAGUCAAGGGUGAAAUCCCCGCGCUCAACGUGGGAACUGCAUUUGAAACUGGCAAACUGGAGUGUGUGAGAGGAUAGUGGAAUUCCGGGUGUAGGAGUGAAAUCCGUAGAUAUCUGGAGGAACAUCAGUGGCGAAGGCGAAUAUCUGGCACAUAACUGACGCUGAGGAGCGAAAGCGUGGGUAGCAAACAGGAUUAGAUACCCGAGUAGUC
rnacentral:rRNA from 1 species